GCGGCGCUGCCCGACAGCGCCCGGGGCGGCACAGCUGCGAAGGGGCUGCUCGGUCCCCCGCCGCCCCGUGCCCGCCGCUCAGCCCCGGCCCGGCCGCUUUGCGAACAGCUAUGGCAAUCAGACUUACGAUGUUCUUCAGUCACUUCGGCCUGCUGUCCCAUCCCAGGUGCCUGCAGCCUUCACCGCAGUCGGGGCAUGCAGAGCAAGGUGUGGUCUUCUCACUGUGGUGUGAACGGCCAUCUUUGCACCUCUCUUCUCUAAGCUGUUUGCAAAUGACCUCUGAGCAGCCCCCGCACACCAUGCUUUCUGCCAUCAGUGAAGCAGAUGGAGGAUCAGUGCAUUUGCCUUGCAAGCAGUCAGCACCACAGGACUGGAUACUAUGUGCCUUUUUCUCUGCAGAAGGACUCAAAUAAAUGUCCUUCUGUCUGCGAUCUGCAUUUUUGGAAGACAUCCAUGAGCAAGUCAUUUGCUCAGCAGCCUCACUAUUGAGGUCACUGUGGGCUUUGCUUGAAUCUAUAUGCUCUUGAAUAUAUCUUGGAGGCCUGUUUUUCCACACUCUUUGCA